rnacentral:rRNA from 1 species
GCUUGCUCUCUCACUUAUCGGCGGACGGGUGAGUAAUGCUUAGGAAUCUGCCUAUUAGUGGGGGACAACAUUUCGAAAGGAAUGCUAAUACCGCAUACGUCCUACGGGAGAAAGCAGGGGAUCUUCGGACCUUGCGCUUAUAGAUGAGCCUAAGUCGGAUUACCUAGUUGGUGGGGUAAAGGCCUACCAAGGCGACGAUCUGUAGCGGGUCUGAGAGGAUGAUCCGCCACACUGGGACUGAGACACGGCCCAGACUCCUACGGGAGGCAGCAGUGGGGAAUAUUGGACAAUGGGCGCAAGCCUGAUCCAGCCAUGCCGCGUGUGUGAAGAAGGCCUUAUGGUUGUAAAGCACUUUAAGCGAGGAGGAGGCUACUUUAGUUAAUACCUAGAGAUAGUGGACGUUACUCGCAGAAUAAGCACCGGCUAACUCUGUGCCAGCAGCCGCGGUAAUACAGAGGGUGCAAGCGUUAAUCGGAUUUACUGGGCGUAAAGCGCGCGUAGGCGGCUAAUUAAGUCAAAUGUGAAAUCCCCGAGCUUAACUUGGGAAUUGCAUUCGAUACUGGUUAGCUAGAGUGUGGGAGAGGAUGGUAGAAUUCCAGGUGUAGCGGUGAAAUGCGUAGAGAUCUGGAGGAAUACCGAUGGCGAAGGCAGCCAUCUGGCCUAACACUGACGCUGAGGUGCGAAAGCAUGGGGAGCAAACAGGAUUAGAUACCCUGGUAGUCCAUGCCGUAAACGAUGUCUACUAGCCGUUGGGGCCUUUGAGGCUUUAGUGGCGCAGCUAACGCGAUAAGUAGACCGCCUGGGGAGUACGGUCGCAAGACUAAAACUCAAAUGAAUUGACGGGGGCCCGCACAAGCGGUGGAGCAUGUGGUUUAAUU